rnacentral:lncRNA from 1 species
AGAAACGCCCUCACAGACACCCCGGAAGUCACGUACCCACUCUGUAGGUGCCCCGGGGCACAGGCAAGCGGACGAGCCAGUUAUCCCUCAGAGCUCCUGCUGCCUCGCCCGCUUUCUCUCGGAAACGUGAAGUGUGGCCUCAGCUGAAAGUGAGGUGGGCCUCAUUCAAUCAGUUGAAUUCUUCAAGAGAGAAAAACUGAAGUCCCUUAGAAGGAAAGAGUUCUGCCUUCAGACUGUCUUUGAACUUAAGACUGUAGCGUCGACUCCUGCCGGAAUUUCCAGCCUGCUGGCCAGCUCUGCAGAUUCACACUUGCCAGCCUCCACAAUCGCAGCUGAGGCGGAGGAACCCUAAGGGCUCAUUGAGAUCAUGGAUUUGCCCUUCUAUGCAUUGAUGGAGCACCUGCUGCCCACAGCGUCUGUAUUUGGUGCUGGGAUGCUGAGCCUCCUUCUUUAUGAAUUUUUAAAAGGACACUGAGAUCUUCAAACAGAGGCUGCCACUCUAAGCAAACAGAUCCCGAGCCCUGGACUCUGAAGCUUGGGCCCAGUUCUCCUUUUCUCCGGGUUUCAGAUCCCACUGUGAAGUGAGGGGGCCCUUCUGAUUCAGGACCCGGGGAAGCCAGGGGCAUGAGCAUCGGUGCCUCUUCUCUAUUUCAAGGACCCUUCUGGGUGUAAAGUUCUCUGAGAUGCCUUACAUGGAUUCCCACCACUGCAAGAUAACCAUCGUAUGUAAAGUGUUAUGACCAGCAGAGCGUAAUUGAAGUGCAUUCCAGAGGGAAAGACAGCGGCUCAGUAAAUCAAAGGUUUCGCCAUCAUGUAAACCCUUGGGCGACAGAGUCUACCUGUCUCCCCCUGAUAUUGUUCUAUGAGAUUUCGAUGCUAUCUUCAUUGCCAGCAGCCCUGACAAAGAUGCACUGCAGACGGAUAGCCUCUCAGGUGAGAUUAGAUUGAACCCUCCUUAUCUCUUCAUUGUGGUUUCAUCACUUUCAGGAGAUGCUCUGUUGUGAGACCUUGCUUUGUUGUUGCUGUUCUUAAAGGGAACACUCCCUUUGUUAGGAAAAUCUGACAGCUGGAAGCCGUGAGUUCUUGGCCCCUUGCCCUGAAGCAAGAGUGACCAGGCCUCUCUCCUGAGGGAAGGCCUUCCCAGGUGGGGACAUAGGCCCUAAAGUGAGAACUGAAGCAUUGUCCACUCCCUCUUUGAUGCCACAUGCAUGGACGGUUCAGUGAAUGUCGUGGGAACUCAGCUGUGCCCACCCCUGCUUUGUUACCCCGGCACUUUGGGAAACAGCAGAGUCCAGCAGAAACCACUGAAGUUUUGGGCUCGGAGGGAUUCCAGUUCAAGCCCCGGCUUCACCACCUACAAGGUUCAAUUUUGGUCUAGGAAUGGAACUUCUCUGAGUCUUAGUUGCUGUCAUCAAUAUUAUUUUACUGUCAUCAUUAUUUAUAGUAAAAUAAUAACCUCUCAGA